GAGACUCUGUGCGCGUGCAUAUCAAUAAGCGGAGGAAAAGAAACUAACAAGGAUUCCCUUAGUAACGGCGAGUGAAGCGGGAAGAGCUCAAAUUUGAAAUCUUCAAGGUUCUACCUUGACGAAUUGUAGUUUAUAGAAGUGUUUUCUGUUAGUGGAGUGGCAAAAGUUCUUUGGAAUAGGACAUCAUAGAGGGUGAGAAUCCCGUAUUUGGUCAUUCCUCCUAGCGUUGUGAUACACUUUCAACGAGUCGGAUUGUUUGGGAAUGCAGUCCAAAAUGGGUGGUAAAUUUCAUCUAAAGCUAAAUAUUGGCGAGAGACCGAUAGCGAACAAGUACCGUGAGGGAAAGAUGAAAAGAACUUUGAAAAGAGAGUUAAACAGUACGCGAAAUUGUCAAAAGGGAAGCGUUUGACACCAGUGUUGUUUAGUUGAAAAUCAAAUCAAUAAUUUUUGAUUUUGAGUAGUAUUGACUUCAUCAGCUUGCUGCUUUCUUUUCCGAAAUUAUUUAAUGCACUUUUCAGUUAACAAGUCAACAUCAAUUUCUUUUGUUGUAAAAGGGUAAGAGGAAGGUGGCUUACGCUUCGGCGUAAGUGUUUAUAGCCUUUUACCUCUGCAAUCGGAGAGAUUGAGGACAGCAGCGUAGACUCUUCGGGGUUAGAUACACUUGUGCUAAGCUAUAGCCUUGUAUAGACAACUUGUUGACUAUGCUCAGUCAUGUAGCUUACUCGCUUGUGCUAUUUUACCUACGCUUAGGAUGUUGAGUCGUAGAGCACGCAG
rnacentral:rRNA from 1 species